UAUUUUUGGCUUAAACGGGGUGACAACGGAUAUUUGUUUUUGCUUUUUGGAUAAAGAAAGAAGGCCACACAUCAUUUCGAAUUCUGAUUGCUUUAUUUUCAAAAGAUUAAGUUUGCGACUAUAUGACCUCAGCAUGAGUCGUUUUUAUUUUUUCUUUUCUAGACCGCCCUUUCGGGUUUUCAAUCUAGUGGAAUUAUUCUCUCUUUGAAAGUUUCCUUCUUUUUUUUUUGUUUUUUUUUGUUUUUUUUUUAUUUUGUCUCAAUGGAUUCGGGGAUCACCCUACUAGCGCAAGCGAGAAAAUUUUUGGCCAAGCCAAUCUG
rnacentral:lncRNA from 1 species